AGACUGAAAAUCCUCUUGUGUUGUCCCUGUGUUAUUAUACAGAAUAUAACCACAGUGAAUGGUUACACACAAACACUUCCUGUCUGUUCUGUCUAUCUGUCCCCUGUUCCCUGUGUUUUCUUUCAUUCAGAAGUCAGCAGCACUGAGUCUGUCUCCCAUACUGUUUAUGUGUUUCUUGCAGGUGAUGCAGGAGUCCCAGGUCCCCCAGGAGUCCCCGGAGCAUCUGCUGGUAGCUCAUAUGGUCCUGCUCCCCCAGGCCCUCAAGGGCCACCUGGACAGCCUGGUCCACCUGGAAGAGAUGGAAGUGGGUCUGGAUCAACCGAUGUGGGCCAGUAUAUUGCAGAAUACCUUCAGAGUGACAGCAUCAGGCAGUACUUGGCUGGACCUCCUGGGCCCCCUGGUCCUCAAGGGGCUCCAAGUGCUUCAGGGUCUGCAGGGGACGUGCCGGUCGAUGAUUUGGCCAACCGAGUAAUAGCUUACAUCCAAAGUACAGGUAGAGGAUAUGAUGGGACUCAUAGCCCACCUGGUCCUCCAGGACCUCCAGGUUCACCUGGCUUUCCAGGUUCACCUGGCUCCAUCUCCGUCAAUGACAUCAUCAAUCUAUUGCAACGAGAGGACGUGAGGAGAUAUGUUUCUGGUCCUCCUGGUCCACCAGGACCUCCUGGAGCUACAGACCAGGGCAGCUACAGAAUCAACACCCAGGAGGUGGCUGAUCGUGUCCUAAGCCUCAUGAAUGAGAGGGGGUUGGUAGGUGCUCCUGGACCACAAGGACCUCCUGGAGCUCCUGGUCUUCCUGGAAACUCGUUAUCAACUGGGUAUCAAGUACAAGUGGGCCCUCAAGGGCCUCCUGGUCCCCCAGGUAUCCCUGGUCCACAAGGUCCACAAGGUCCACCUGGCACACCUAGCCCACAUGGAUAUGGGACCUACCUCACUUCAGAUAUCCGUGACUACCUUCAAAGUGUCUCCUUGAGGGGACCACCAGGCCCCCCUGGUCCCCAGGGACCUGAAGGCCCCCCCGGUCAAAUAAACGGGUUGGUUUCCUAUGCUGAGCAUGCCAACAGACAGGCGCUCAGAGCAGAACUGCAAGAAUAUAUCAAGAGUGAGUUUAAAAGAAUACUUCAGCAGACAUAAUUGGAUAAAAUUUCAAAAUGUGUAUUGAAAGUGUGUGAUUUUUAACUCAGCCAGAGUUGCGAUAAUUCCUUGUCCUAGACUAGUGUAAGGGUAUGAGUAGGGUAUAACAACUGCAUGAAAAGUUUUGGGCAAAUUAUAAUGGAAUACGAGGUGAGCCUGCACAACCAUCACUGUUAUGUUCAAUAAGCACUGUGCAUAUGUGCAAUAUGUAAGAACUUCUCAAAUAUAUUUUGCAAAUAGGGGGCAGCACAUGGUAACCGCAAACUGCUGCUAACUGUAGCUGUUGAUAGCUCGAUAGCUCAACUAGCCAUGCAGCUAGCAAUGCAGAAUGGGAGUUUGGAGUGGUUUUAUGAGAACGGACUCACUGGGGCUAGCUUGUUAGCUGGCUAACCUCAUUAGACAUUUCUGCAAUAGAAGACAGUCGAUGUCUUUGACACAAGGUCAAAACUGACAUUUCUUCAGAUUCUGUUGAUAGAUUAAGUUAUUGUGAAAGUUUUGAAUUUGAAUUCUUACAAAAAUGCACCUUUAAUUAAGGCACAUUUUUGACAUCGACCUUUACCAGAGUUCCCAAAAUAGGCAUACUCCUUAAUGAUAAGGGAUUCAAUAUUCCAUAUAUACAUAUAUUAUGAUAUUAUGAUAUGAGGUAUUAGAUUUUAGCCUAGCUAAUGUUAAUUUUAAAAUUUGCUGUGUGAA
ensembl:lncRNA